rnacentral:rRNA from 1 species
GACGAACGCUGGCGGCGUGCCUAAUACAUGCAAGUCGAACGCAGGGGGGGCGGGUGAGUAACACGUGGGUAACCUCCCAUCAGAGGGGAUAACACUUGGACACAGGUGCUAAACCGAUACUGAUGGAUGGACCCGCGGUGCAUUAGCUAGUGGGUGGGGUAACGGCUCACCAAGGCCACGAUGCAUAGCGGACCGGGGAGGGUGAUCGGCCACACUGGGACUGAGACACGGCCCAGACUCCUACGGGAGGCAGCAGUAGGGAAUCUUCGGCAAUGGACGAAAGUCUGACCGAGCAACGCCGCGGGAGUGAAGAAGGUUUUCGGAUCGUAAAACUUUGUUGUUAGAGAAGCGGUAUCUAACCAGAAAGCCACGGCUAACUACGUGCCAGCAGCCGCGGUAAUUC